UACGGAGGGUGCAAACGUUGCUCGGAAUCAUUGGGCGUAAAGCGCACGUAGGCGGUCCGUUAUGUCGCGUGUGAAAGCCCCCGGCUCAACUGGGGAGGGUCACGCGAUACUGAUCGACUGGAAGGCAGGAGAGGGUAGUGGAAUUCCCGGUGUAGUGGUGAAAUUCGUAGAUAUUCGGAAGAACACCAGUGGCGAAGGCGGCUUACUGGACACGUAUUGACGCUGAGGUACGAAAGCGUGGGGAGCAAACAGG
rnacentral:rRNA from 1 species